rnacentral:rRNA from 1 species
UGGGGAAUUUUGGACAAUGGGCGAAAGCCUGAUCCAGCAAUGCCGCGUGUGUGAAGAAGGCCUUCGGGUUGUAAAGCACUUUUGUCCGGAAAGAAAUCCUCUGGGUUAAUACCUCGGGGGGAUGACGGUACCGGAAGAAUAAGCACCGGCUAACUACGUGCCAGCAGCCGCGGUAAUACGUAGGGUGCAAGCGUUAAUCGGAAUUACUGGGCGUAAAGCGUGCGCAGGCGGUUUUGUAAGACGGAUGUGAAAUCCCCGGGCUUAACCUGGGAACUGCAUUCGUGACUGCAAGGCUAGAGUAUGGCAGAGGGGGGUUAGAAUUCCACGUGUAGCAGUGAAAUGCGUAGAGAUGUGGAGGAAUACCGAUGGCGAAGGCAGCCCCCUGGGCCAAUACUGACGCUCAUGCACGAAAGCGUGGGGAGCAAACAGGAUUAGAUACCCUGGUAGUCCACGCCCUAAACGAUGUCAACUAGUUGUUGGGGAUUCAUUUCCUUAGUAACGUAGCUAACGCGUGAAGUUGACCGCCUGGGGAGUACGGUCG